GACGAACGUUGGCGGCGUGCUUAAUACAUGCAAGUCAACUGAAGCAGUGGUAGCAAUAUCGCUGUGGAGGUGGCGCACGGGUGAGUAACACGUAGGUAAUCUGCCUUCAGGUCUGGCAUAACUCCGGGAAACCGGGGCUAAUAGCAGAUGAUGCAGCGGCUCGACAUCGAGACAGUUGUUAAAGCUAUGGCGCCUGAAGAUGAGCCUGCGUCUGAUUAGCUAGUUGGCGGGGUAACGGCCCACCAAGGCAACGAUCAGUAGCUGGUCUGAGAGGAUGAUCAGCUACACUGGAACUGAGACACGGUCCAGACUCCUACGGGAGGCAGCAGUGAGGAAUAUUGCUCAAUGGGAGACAUCCUGAAGCAGCAACGCCGCGUGAGGGACGACGGGCUUUUGCUUGUCAACCUCUGUAGUGAGAGAAAAAAAUCCCAAUCUUUGGGACAUGAUGGUAUCUCAAAAGUAAGCCCCGGCUAACUACGUG
rnacentral:rRNA from 1 species